UACGUAAGGACCGAGCGUUGUCCGGAAUCAUUGGGCGUAAAGGGUACGUAGGCGGUUAGAUAAGUUUGAAGUGAAGGGGUAUAGCUCAACUAUAGUAAGCCUUUGAAACUGUUUAACUUGAGAGAUGGAAAGGGAAGUGGAAUUCCAUGUGUAGCGGUGAAAUGCGCAGAUAUUAGGAGGAAUACCGGUGGCGAAGGCGACUUUCUGGACA
rnacentral:rRNA from 1 species